rnacentral:lncRNA from 1 species
GAGUAGCUGGGAUUACAGGCGUGUGCCACCAUGCCCGGCUAAUUUUUGUGUUUUUAGUAGAGACCGGGGAAGGUAUGGGCCCUCUUUUGAGAAAAAUGCAGAGUGACACUGAAUUUUGUAACUACAUCAGGAGGCUCUUGAACCUUCUGCAGCUCACUCGUGGAGUUUGUAGAGAUGCGUAAUAAUCCGAAGUGUUAAGGAAGAAGGUUCUGUUGAGAAAAAGUUGGAGGGCUGAAAGGGAUGCCUUUCGCUAUUUCGACAUGUGUGGCUGUACCCCAGAGUGCCCUGGCUAACACGCAAAACCAUGAAUUAGGCGGCUUGGCGAGGCUCAGUGGAGGCUGGGGCCGAGAGUCAUGUCAAAGUUUGUGGGGUUAACCUGCACCCAGUGACAGUCAUGGCGAAGUUUGUGAGGUUAACUCGCACCCAGUAACGCUGUUCCAAUGCAAGGUGUGUAUUUGGUGUCAUCCACGGGAAGAGGAAACAGCAAAUUUUCUCAUGGCCUUGGCAGUUCCACAUGAUGGACAUUUCAUAUCUGCAGUUUUCUUCGCAUGAGAUGGCUUUUUUGCACAAAAACACUGGAAUCCAGUGAGCAAGAAUGAUAGAAUGCAAGAUGGAUUUCCACAUGAGGAAGUGUCACGAACAAGCGUUUUGCAUCUCUGUCAGCUGGAUUCCCCCAUGUAUGGCUGAACUCUGUGACCCCGGGGCCUGUUUCAGCCUCCUGCUGUCAGAAAGCAGCUGUUUGGGAAGAGGCUGUGAUUCGGCCUUGUUUGAGGGCCGAUACUCUGAAUGGGGAGAGACCCACCGACCCUGUGGGGCUGGUCCCUACAUCUGGCGCUCUGACGUGGGGCUCUCCCUCGCUGUGUGAAGUUGCACCCUGAGUGCGGGAUCAGCGGAGGAGUUCAACGAGAGAUUCCUGAGGAUUGCAGUCUAUAAACUUGGUGGAAAAGAACUACAGCCUGUGUGGGUCCCCUCCCGACAAUUAAAAUUGCACCAUAACUCCAAAGAUGAAACGCUCCCAGAAAGAAAAGGCAAAGACCCAUCGGAAACAAAAGAGCAACUUUCACCGCCUGAUACAUACACUUCAUGACAUCCACAUUGAGACAAAAUCUCGCCGUGUGACCUACAACACCUCUCGUUCAACCCCACCUACUUGGGGUCGAAUACAGAUUUUAUCUCAUCAAACAGAAAAAUUCUUAACAGAAAAAGGAAUCCCAAAAAUGACUGGUAAUAUAAUUCUGGCUGCCUUUAUGGUAGUCAGUGCAGCGUCUGCAGAUGCCUCUAAGGAGUCCGAAACCAAGUCCGAAGUCAACAACAAGCAAUGAUGGCGAUGGCGAUUCUAGUUAAUAAAAAGGGGGGAGAUGUGGGCGGCAAGCCACCCAGGCACCGAGGCAAGAGACAGAGGACACGAGCUGUUCCAGUAUAAUAAAAUAUAAAACAAGAAUAGUUAUACCAGAUAUAGAUCUUAGAUAUGAUUAUAUACGAAUAUCAUUAAUCAUGAGUUUGUAGCAAUUACUUUUUAUUCCAAUAUUAUGAUAAUCCUCGCUCUAUAAUCAUAGCCUAGGAAAAACCAGGCCAUACAGAGAUAGGAGCUGAGGGGACAUAGUGAAGUGUGACCAGAAGACAAGAGUGCGAGCCUUCUGUUAUGCCCGGACAGGGCCACCAGAGGGCUCCUUGGUCUAGCGGUGACGCCAGCGUCUGGGAAGACACCCGUUACCAGGCGGAUCGUGGCCCAGCCGUAGCAAAAGGUGUCAAGGAACACCUUUUGCAAAAGGUGUCAACACCCGCUACUUAGCAGACUGGGAAAGGGGGGCGGUCUCCCUUUCCCCGGGGGAGUUUAGAGAAGACUCUGUUCCUCCACCUCUUGUGGAGGGCCUGACAUCAGUCAGGCUUGCCCGUAGUUAUCCGGAGGCCUAACUGUCUCCCUGUGAUGCUGUGCUUCAGUGGUCACGCUCCUAGUCUGCCUUCAUUUUCCAUCCUGUACACCUGGCUCUGCCUUCUAGAUAGCAGUAGUAAAUUAGUGAAAAUACUAAUAGUCCCUGAUAUGCAGAAAUAAUGGCAUAAGCUGUCUUUCUCUCUGUCUCCUCUCCCUCUCUGCCUCGGCUGCCAGGCAGGGAAGGGCCCCCUGUCCAGUGGACACAUGACCCAUGUGACCUUACCUAUCAUUGGAGGUGACUCACAUUCUUUACCCUGCCCCUUCUGCCUUGUAUCCAAUAACAGCGCAGUCAGACAUUCAGGGCCACUACCGGUCUCCGCACAUUGGUGGUAGUGGUCCCCCGGGCCCAGCUGCCUUUUCUC